rnacentral:lncRNA from 1 species
GAAAUUUCUUUAACUUCAGGCUUUUUCUAAGAAAAUCCCACAAAAAAGGUCAAAGGAGCACAAGAAAAGGUUCUUUCUAAGACCUCAAUGAAUUACUCAAUUUUGUUAAUUGAAGGGUCUCAUACAUAUAAGUUGCAAAACAUUUUCCUUAAUGGUGCAAUAACAUAUUUUUUAAUGAAAUCGUACAAAUAUUAUCAAUAAAGGUACUAAGAAGGUAAAAAAAUAUUAGCUACUCUGACAACUAAUAGUAAAUAAAGACUCUGUGUUAAGUGGGUCAUUGAUGAGUGGUGAUUUUACCACUCAUUCUCACUCAACAUUUAUAAACAUUGCCUUGAUUUGAAUGAAUAAAUGAGUCAUAUUCGUGAUUAAAUGUACUAAUAUCCACUUCUUACCGG